rnacentral:misc_RNA from 1 species
GAUGAAGAACGUAGCGAAAUGCGAUAAGUAAUGUGAAUUGCAGAAUUCAGUGAAUCAUCGAAUCUUUGAACGCACCUUGCGCCCUUUGGCUAUUCCGAAGGGCAUGCCUGUUUGAGUAUCAUGAACACCUCAACUCUCAUGGUAUGCCAUGAUGAGCUUGGACUUUGGGGGUCUUGCCGGCCUAUGGGUCGGCUCCUCUCAAAUUAAUCAGCUUGCCAGUGUUUGGUGGCAUCACAGGUGUGAUAACUAUCUACGCUUGUGGUUUUCCAUCAGGUAACCUUCAGUGAUGGAGGUUCGCUGGGGCUCAUAAAUGUCUCUCCUCAGUGAGGACAGCUUUUUUGAACGUUUGAUCUCAAAUCAGGUAGGACUACCCGCUGAACUUAAGAAUAUCAAUAAGCGGAGGA